rnacentral:rRNA from 1 species
UACGUAGGGGGCUAGCGUUGUCCGGAAUCAUUGGGCGUAAAGCGCGCGUAGGCGGCCAGAUAAGUCCGGUGUGAAAGUCACAGGCUCAACCUGUGAAUGCCGCUGGAAACUGUCUGGCUAGAGUCCGGAAGGGGCGAGUGGAAUUCCAGGUGUAGCGGUGAAAUGCGUAGAGAUCAGGAAGAACACCGGUGGCGAAGGCGCUCUGCUAGGCCGCAACUGACACUGAGGGACGAAAGCUAGGGGAGCGAAUGGG